AACAUAGUUUUAUGCAUUUAUAUAAAAUAUUUUCUGCCCAAUGUUUUUAAAAAAUCAAUGGCCGCAGUACCUUGACUGUGCUAAGGUAGCAUAAUCAAUUGGCUUUUAAUUAAGGUCUAGAAUGAAUGGGAUAAUGAAGUUAAUCUGUCUUAGUUGCUUUUAUUAAAAUUUAUUUAAAAGGUGAAAAUACCUUUUUUAAAAAUAAAGACGAGAAGACCCUUAGAAUUUUUAUUAUUUUUUUGUUGGGGCGACAGUUUAAAAUAUAAUCUUAAAUUUAUGUAUAUAUAUAACGAUUUUUUUAAUAGAAAUUAAAUUACCUUAGGGAUAACAGCAUAAUUAAUUAUUUAGUUUGUGACCUCGAUGUUGGACUAGGAACUAUAUGGCUAACCGUCUAAUUAGAUUUGUUCUGUUCG
rnacentral:rRNA from 1 species